CUUCCUAUAAAUAUUAAGUCCAUAGUCUUCCACCAUUGUAGAUGUACGGGCGUGCUACUAGUGUUGAUUGUUCUUAAUUGGUCAUAGUGGUUCAGUUGCACUAAAAAUAUACAACCACUCUAUUAGCAAAGAGUUACUUCAGGAUAUGGAUGGGGUUGGGCCCAAUAACUGUUAGAUGAGGGACUCAAUAAUGGCCUUGCACCUGUUUAUGAAUGGUGGGUCGAACUUAACUAAGGAGUACGGUCAAAAACUGUUUGGUGAGCCCACAUGACUUAGAGACCA
rnacentral:lncRNA from 1 species